ACGAGUGGCGAACGGGUGAGUAAUGCGAAGGAAUUUACCUUAUAGUUUGGUUAAAUGCCUCAUACAGAAAAUUUUUUGCUAUAUGAUGAGCCUUCGCAGGAUUAGGUAGUUGGUAAGAUAAUAGCUCACCAAGCCGAUGAUCCUUAAUUGGUCUGAGAGGACGUACAGUCACACUAGAACUGAGACAAGGUCUAGACAUCUAAGGAUGGCAGCAGUGGGGAAUCCUGAACAAUGAGCGAAAGCUUGAUUCAGUGAUAUAGAGUGAAUAAUGAAGGCCAUUAGGUUGUAAAGUUCUUUUACCAAGAAAGAUUUUGACUUUAUUUGGAGAAAAAGCCCUGGCAAAUUUCGUGCCAGCAGCCGCGGUGAUACGAAAAGGGCUAGUGUUAUUCGGAAUAAUUGGGUGUAAAGGGUGAGUAGGCUGUAAUCAUAGUUAACUUUUAAAUCUUAGUAGUAAUUACUAAAUCAAUUUUUAAUAACAAAUUACUAGAGUAAAGGAGAGGAUGGUAGAAUUUCAAGUGGAGAAAUAAAAUUUGUAGAUUUUUGAAGGAAUAUCGAAAGCGAAGGCAACUAUCUGGCUUUAUACUGACGCUGAUUCACGAAAGCUUAGGUAGCAACCAGGAUUAGAGACCCUGUUAGUCUAAGCCGUAAACUAUGGAUACUCAUUUUCGGAUAAUAACUGUUCGGAAAUUUAGCUAACGCGUUAAGUGUCCCACCUGAGAAGUACAGCGGCAACGCUGAAACUCAAAUGAAUUGACGG
rnacentral:rRNA from 1 species